rnacentral:rRNA from 1 species
UACGUAGGGGGCUAGCGUUGUCCGGAAUCAUUGGGCGUAAAGAGCGUGUAGGCGGCCCGGUAAGUCCGCUGUGAAAGUCAAAGGCUCAACCUUUGAAUGUCAGUGGAUACUGCCGGGCUAGAGUCCGGAAGAGGCGAGUGGAACUCCUGGUGUAGCGGUGGAAUGCGCAGAUAUCAGGAGGAACACCGGUGGCGAAGGCGGGUCUCUGGGCCGAAAUUGACGCUGAGGAGCGAAAGCGUGGGGAGCAAACAGG